AUUGAACGCUGGCGGAAUGCUUUACACAUGCAAGUCGAACGAUGAACCUUAGCUUGCUAAGGGGAUUAGUGGCGAACGGGUGAGUAAUAUGUCGGAACGUGCCUUGUAAUGGGGGAUAACUAGUCGAAAGAUUAGCUAAUACCGCAUACGCCCUGAGGGGGAAAGUAGGGGAUCUUCGGACCUUACGUUAUAAGAGCGGCCGAUAUCUGAUUAGCUAGUUGGUGGGGUAAUGGCCUACCAAGGCGACGAUCAGUAGCUGGUCUGAGAGGACGACAGGCGACACUGGAACUGGAACACGGGCCAGACUCCGACGGGAGGCAGCAGUGGGGAAUUUUGGACAAUGGGCGCAAGCCUGAUCCAGCAAUGCCGGGUGAGUGAAGAAGGCCUUCGGGUGUUAAAGCUGUUGCGCAAGGGAAGAAAACUUACCAUCGAAGAAAUGGAGAGGCUGACGGUACCUUGAUAAGAAGCACCGGCUAACUACGUG
rnacentral:rRNA from 1 species